rnacentral:rRNA from 1 species
AAGAUGCAGUGUACCCGCGGCUAGACGGAAAGACCCCGUGAACCUUUACUAUAGCUUGACACUGAACAUUGAGCCUUGAUGUGUAGGAUAGGUGGGAGGCUUUGAAGCGUGGACGCCAGUCUGCGUGGAGCCAACCUUGAAAUACCACCCUUUAAUGUUUGAUGUUCUAACGUUGGCCCCUGACCGGGGUUGCGGACAGUGUCUGGUGGGUAGUUUGACUGGGGCGGUCUCCUCCCAAAGCGUAACGGAGGAGCACGAAGGUUAGCUAAUCCUGGUCGGACAUCAGGAGGUUAGUGCAAUGGCAUACGCUAGC